CAUCACUCUCCUUGGUCAAAUAUUCCUUACACAGCCUGGAGGUGUGUUGGGUCAUUGUCCUGUUGAAAAACAAAUGAUAGUCCCACUWAGCGCAAACCAGAUGGSAUGGCGUAUCYCUGCAGAAUGCUGUGGUAGCCAUGUUGGUUAAGUGUGCCUUGAAUUCUAAAUAAAUCACAAACAGUU